UGGGGGAUCUGUAAUAGAAAUCAAAUCACAUAAAGCUGCCUUGUGCUUAAAGAUGAGUAAAUAUUCAUCAAGUGAUGUUUUAACAAAGCCUUGCAACAAUAAAAGAUAUAACAGCUACCGCUCAAUUACUAAAUCAGAUAAACAAAUAGCUGCAUAGACAUGUUGUCAAAUUGGGUAUCAGAAAUUCUCCCUUUUACUGUUUAAAUUACAGUAAUCACCAUUUUAAUGGCUCUUUGAUUUAAGCUUGUAAUCUAAUUAGGGUAUUUCUGACAACAAGUGAGCGCAGCAUCACUAAAUAGGUCCCUCACUUUAUCUGACAGGACAUGGAUGAAUGGGUUAUAUUACCAGUAGAGGGUAAACAGCAAUGGGAUGGACUGGACUGGCCUUUUGUAAACGCAGUUAACUUUAGUGUAGAGGAGGUAGUGGUGGUAGUAGUAGUAUAAUACUAAUAGAAAUAGCAGUGGGCCUGGCUAUCACCUUAUUGAUCUUGUAUUACUGAAACACUACAAGGAGAGCCAUCAAGAAACCAAAGCUCAAUCAGACACUGCUCACAUCGACAGAAUACACCGGAUAUCAGUCAAGACUAUGUUGGACUAAUGUGUAUUCAGGCUCACAAGAUAAUUAUUUCAUAUCCUAAGAGACAUCACACACACACAGAGGGUCUACACAACAUUAAUUGUAAAUGUAAAAAUAUAAAAUGCUGUGUCCGUGCACAAUAUGCACAUUCGAGCUGAUAUUUUUAAACAUGUAACACAGAAAAUAAGAAAUUCAAAAUGUUUUCCAGGUCCUGCAGUAAUCUCAAAAUCAUCUCCUCUCUUCUCUUCUGAAUUUAAGUGAAAUAUGGCACUGCUGUUGCAUCUGUACUCUUUAAAAAAAAAAACUGUAAUUUCCCACAUAGUCAGAAAGCAGCAGCAGCAGUUUCCUUUCAUGCAUGGUCCUAAUUUUAUAAUUUUCAGUAUUUUUCAUUCUUCACGUUGAAUGCUGAUGCUCUCCUUCCCUGUCACUUCUCUACAGGAAGCCACGGGGUCAGGGCGAGUUGAGUCCCAUGUCAGAAUUGUCCCCACGCUGACCUGCGCCUGACUGGCCUCCCAGCAAAAAGCCCCUGUGAAGGCGUCUCUGUGCUGGACCACCGGCCGCUGUGGGACCUUCUCUCCCUCCUGGCUGUCGGUGCCUCAUUCCACAUGUUGGAUCUGGAUCUCAGUUCUCCUGGAGGUUCAGCCUUUCCUCUUGUCUCUCUCUGUGUCUCAUGCUCCUCUCUGUGUGACUGUAGUCUACAGGAGUACACAGAACACAGGAUUCAGGAUGGACAGGAGGGCGUUUGGCUCAAGCUGUUUGGUGACACCUGUAUAUUGCAAUUUUAUCAUGUUGGUGUGUUCUGUGCGCACAACAUCUAAUGCACGCCUGCCCGACCAGGAGGAGGGGUCUUUCCUCAGCUGCUCCUUCUGAGGUUUCCUCAUCCAAAGCGAGGGUCAGAAAGGACAGAGGGUGCUGAUUGAAAAGCCCCUUAAGGCAAAUUUGAGAUACUGGGUUCGGACUUCAUAUGUUUUAUUUUAUAGAUAUAUCAGAGAAUUGUCUGUUUUUUAAGCUUUAACAGAUGCUCCAUUUAUCACUGCAUCUUGUCAGCACAUUAAAAUACAUAUUGUUUAUGUGAUAGAUAAAUGGCGCUAACCUAAUGGCUGCGUUUGAUAUUUAGCAAUAAAAAAUGACUCCUCUCUGGUAUCUCUCAGAUGAACCAACCCCCCGUUAUCCCAUGAAUACUGUAUCUGGUUUCCCUUUGAAGCCCCGGGACCCUGCAGAGUGACAUGCGACAGAGGAACUGGUCAAAAACCAAGGAAGUGAGCAUGGCAAUAGACUUGUAAAAGAGCCUGCAACAACUGCAAGCAGCAUGGGGUACAAACAGCACUGGGCUGACCUCAGACAAAGUGCAGAGGGAGGCGGGCCGGCUAAAGAUGUAAGGCAAAGAGAGCUGCGCUGAUCCGAAGGUGAAAAACAUCCUCCUCCUCUUCCCCCAGCUGAACAUCUGUCUCCGUGGUGUUGGCUGCAGCACCAACUCUGACACCUCCAGAUGGAGAGCCCGCUGGGAGCGCUGAGGUAUUACCUACAGAGAUGGCAGGGAUCACACCUCUGGAAUGAAGUCCCACACUUGUUUUCUGCACUGUCCCCUUUUUUGUUGUUAAAUCUGCCACUAUUCACCAUAUCGAUUGUCACCUCGCCAGUCCUUGGCCUUGUGACUCUUCGGGAAGCUUUUCGGCUUUUAAAGUAACGCAUGACAACAAACCUCUCAACCCUUUUCUAAUUUACAGUAAUGGGCCGUAUGGUAUUUCAACUGUAACUUCUAUUAGUGGAGCCAUAUUAAUUUUUAAUAUAGUUGUGAGAGAACUGCAUACUCAUGCGGAUGUAUUUCAAAUGAUUGCUGAUUUCCAUUUCCUGGAAACAUCUUUUUUUCUCCAUAGGUCCUGAACUUAUUACACUUUUUAGUUUGCAUGAACCAGAACAUUGGCUAAAUGGCCUGUAAUCUCUUUAGCCUAAAUAUUAAAAGCAAUACCUGCAAAAAUCCAAAGUAUGAGAGGCCCUAGAGUUGACUUCUGCGAGCCACUCUGGUGUCUUGACAGAUUGACUCUGCAUUCAUUUGUGCCUGAACUCUGCGUGAACCUCAGCUUUAGGAAAAAGGGCACCAACAGGCCAGUGCUGCUGGGGCAGAAACUGUGUGUGUGUAAACCCAACACCCAGUGCAAAUAUUGAAACUGCUGCCCCUCUUCACCAUCACAUGAAACUAGGUGGUCAGGUCCGGCAAACGUUUAUCUUUAGGUGAAGCCACAAUGAGCACUAAAUUAACAUUUUCUGAUUUUUAAAAGGAAAACGCGAUUGUUUAAUGAAAAGUAUUUGACUGAAAUUACUUAAAAUACAAAGUGCAUGUCAUUGCAACCUGUGUCAGCUGUCUCCAAGCAGAAUUUGGGUAACAAAUCAAGGGUGAGACCUGGUUCCCUGGAGUUUGUUGUCAUGUUUAGAGCCCCUGGAGGUAUUUGGAGGUGAAAAGGUCACUGGGAACCACCCCAUGUGUUGUGAAAGAUGCCUCUUGUCACAUUAUGCAAGGGGACUUUGGUGAGACUAUUAAUAGAGGUGAAUAUAGAGAAGAAGGUUGCAAUUGCAU